rnacentral:rRNA from 1 species
UACGUAGGGUGCGAGCGUUAAUCGGAAUUACUGGGCGUAAAGCGUGCGCAGGCGGUUUUGUAAGCCAGAUGUGAAAUCCCCGGGCUUAACCUGGGAAUGGCAUUUGGGACUGCAAGGCUGGAGUUUGGCAGAGGAAACUGGAAUUCCUGGUGUAGCAGUGAAAUGCGUAGAUAUCAGGAGGAAUACCGAUGGCGGAAGGCAGGUCUCUGGGCUGAAACUGACGCUCAUGCACGAAAGCGUGGGGAGCAAACAGG